UCGCUUAGGGGUUGUUGAAGCGC
rnacentral:miRNA from 1 species